UUAUUAUUAUUUUAAUUGGCAGGGUUCCGUUAUUAUAUUAUAUUACUGUAUGUUAUAAUAUAAAAAUAUAAUCUAAAAAGAUUUUAUAACUUUUUUUUUGUCAUUAAAGUAAAUGCGAUAAUUUUUUAAUUAGCAAUAAACAUGAAACUGCUGUGUAACAUGACACAAUGACAUAAAGAUGUUUAUUAUUUAAUGCACAGUUAUGACAAGCACUAUUUCUGGCCAAUGAAAUUCACUGUGGGCGGGGGCUCUUCAGCAUUAUGUGUAUCAAUACACCUCCUGUCAUGUAUCAUAUCGAUCUCUUUCUUAUUUCUGUUGGUUAUGUGCUGAAAUCUGACCUCUGGACAGAUUAUUCAUAUUUAUAUUACGUAAAAUAAAUAAAAAUACUUUUUUUUUAGUCUAUUAAAGUAAUGCGAUUAAUUUUUAAUGCAAUAAACAUGAAACUGCUGUGUAACAUGACACAAUGACAUAAAGAUGUUUAUUAUUUAAUGCACAGUUAUGACAAGCACUAUUUCUGGCCAAUGAAAUUCACUGUGGGCGGGGCUCUUCAGCAUUAUGUGUAUCAAUACACCUCCUGUCAUGUAUCAUAUCGAUCUCUUUCUUAUUUCUGUUGGUUAUGUGCUGAAAUCUGACCUCUGGACAGAUUAUUCAUAUUUAUAUUACAGAGUUGUGAAGUUGCUUUGCAGGUCCGGACGAGCGAGUCGAGUGCAGGCCUGCCGUAUAUAUGACACAGAAAGGGUGCGAUUGCCUCCGGCUGCCACCGCCAGCUGUUUCUCACGUCGCUGCUGAAACGAGACCCUGCCCUUUCUUGAUGUUUGCUCAUCAGAUGCCGCCCACAUCUCGCUCUGCAGCAUGUCACGCUUGAUUGAAGAUCUUGUGUUACAGACGGCAUCGGGUUUCGGUCAGAAGUGCUUGUGUCGCGCCCUCGAGUGUCACAGUCAUAACAAAAGCCGCUGUGUGUGUGUGUGUGUGUGUGUGGCAGGGUUGUGGCGCUGCCGCUCAGCUGGCGGUUGGGCGUCCGGGACAGGGUUCGUCUGCGGGUCACACCCGUCCCGAAGCUGGAGGCGUUUUACCUGCAGAAGAAGCAGCAGCCGUCUCCGAAUGAUUUGCUGGUUCUGGAGAAGCACUGUGGACUCUCUCAGCACCAGAUCCAGACCUGGCUGCGUCACCGCCGAAACCAGGACCGACCCGGCAACACUAGGAAGUUCUGUGAGGCCUCGUAAGCUGACACGUGUUCUGCCUCUGAAGUGUGCUAAAAAUAAACCAUCUGUUUGCUUUUAACAUGGGCUUUUCUGUGUGGCUCCUCAGGUGGAGGUUUGUGUUUUAUCUCAUGGCCUUCUCAGCUGCUCUCGUCUCACUCAUUCAUGUGAGUAUCUCCAGACGCUCUCAUAACGCUGCCAUUUCUCAGUCCUCUCCUCAGCAUCAGGCUCACAUUUAGAAGUAAAUGUCAUCAAAGACUGAGAUGUUCUCAGAAAUAUGGUGCCAUUUGUGCCUGACAGUUUCAGAAAAUGUUUUUUAUUUUUAGCUAUUUUAAUUUAAUAUUUAU
rnacentral:lncRNA from 1 species